rnacentral:rRNA from 1 species
UACGUAGGGACCAAGCGUUGUUCGGAUUUACUGGGCGUAAAGGGCGCGUAGGCGGUCGUGACAAGUCACUUGUGAAAUCUCCGGGCUUAACUCGGAACGGUCAAGUGAUACUGUCGGACUAGAGUACAGAAGGGGGCAACUGGAAUUCUCGGUGUAGCGGUGAAAUGCGUAGAUAUCGAGAGGGAACACCUGCGGCGAAGGCGGGUUGCUGGGCUGGUCCUGACACUCAGGAGCGAAAGCGUGGGGGAGCGAUCCGG